AUUUGUAAAGUUCUGCAGAUAAUUUAUUGCUUCAAUUCUAAACUGCACAAAAAAAAAUAUUUUUAAAAUAUAGACUACACUCUGAUUACUAGAUAAAAAUGAAUGACAAUAGAGAUCACAAUAGCUACUUCUUCUACAUAUUGAAACUAGAUUACUAUCUACUGGCUAUAGGAACAAUAUUCAUUACAUGGACAAAAUUCUGAGAAAUGUCUGUACAAGUCUUGAAGAACCAUGAACAUUUCAAAGGAAGCUACAGUUUUAAUUUACCUGUUUCUGAGGCCAAUUAUUUGCUAAAGUUAUGUGUAAAAUGAUUAAUCUCAUUUACUUCCUCUCCCCCCCCCCCC